rnacentral:rRNA from 1 species
UAGUGGAUUUUCCCCAGUAACGGCGAGUGAGAGGAAGAGCUCAAAGUUGGAACCUGUUUGGCUUAGCUAAACCGGAUUGUAAACUGUAGAAACGUUUUCCUGGCACGCCAGAUAAAUAAGUCCUUUGGAACAGGGCAUCAUAGAGGGUGAGAAUCCCGUCUUUGGUCUGAGCUGUUGUCUAUUGCGAUACGUUUUCAAAGAGUCAGGUUGUUUGGGAAUGCAGCCUAAAUUGGGUGGUAAAUCUCACCUAAAGCUAAAUAUUUGCGAGAGACCGAUAGCGAACAAGUACCGUGAGGGAAAGAUGAAAAGAACUUUGAAAAGAGAGUUAAACAGUAUGUGAAAUUGUUAAAAGGGAACCGUUUGGAGCCAGACUGGCUUGAUCGUAAUCAAUCUAGGUUUCGACCUGGAUGCACUUGCGGUCUAUGCCUGCCAACGACAGUUCUUUCUGAAGGAUAAAACUAGGAGGAAUGUGGCCCCUCGGGGUGUUAUAGCCUUCUAGAUAAUACUUUGGAUGGGACUGAGGAACGCAGUGAAUGCUAUUAUGGCGAGAUUUCUAUUCGCUUUUUUCCGAGAAUGGGUGAAUUUCUGCUUCGGGUGGUGCAUUCGUUCUUUGGAGAAAACUCGUGUAGUUAUUUUUCUAUUCACUUAGGUUGUUGGCUUAAUGACUCUAAAUGACCCGUCUAAAA